rnacentral:rRNA from 1 species
UGAACGCUGGCGGCGUGCCUAACACAUGCAAGUCGGAUGUGCCGCAAGGUGCAUGGCAGACGGGUGAGUAACGCGUGGGAAAUCUACCUCUUUGUGGGGAAUAACGCUCCGAAAGGAGUGGUAAUACCGCAUGAGACCGAGUGCUGGAAUGUAUUCGGUGAAACCUGGGGACCGCAAGGCCUGGGGCAAGGAGAGGAUCCUGCGUCUGAUUAGCUAGUUGGCGGGGUAAUGGCCCACCAAGGCGACGAUCAGUAGCCGGCCUGAGAGGGUGAUCGGCCACACUGGAACUGAGACACGGUCCAGACUCCUACGGGAGGCAGCAGUGGGGAAUUUUGCGCAAUGGACGAAAGUCUGACGCAGCAACGCCGCGUGGGUGAUGAAGGUCUUCGGACUGUAAAACCCUGUCGUCAGGGACGAAGGUGGCGGAGUUAAUAGCUCCGUUGCUUGACGGUACCUGGAGAGGAAGCCCCGGCUAACUCUGU